UACGUAGGGUCCGAGCGUUGUCCGGAAUUACUGGGCGUAAAGCGCGCGCAGGCGGCCCGCGAGGUGUCACGUGAAAGCCCCGGGCUCAACCCGGGAGGGUCGUGGCAAACCGGCGGGCUUGAGGCCGGUAGAGGUGGGUGGAACUCCUGGUGGAGUGGUGAAAUGCGUAGAGAUCAGGAAGAACACCCGUGGCGAAGGCGGCCCACUGGGCCGAUACUGACGCUGAGGAGCGAAAGCGUGGGGAGCGAACAGG
rnacentral:rRNA from 1 species